UACGUAGGGGGCAAGCGUUGUCCGGAUUUAUUGGGCGUAAAGAGCGUGUAGGCGGCCAUACAGGUCAGCUGUGAAAACUCGAGGCUCAACCUCGAGACGUCGGUUGAAACCGUAUGGCUAGAGUCCGGAAGAGGAGAGUGGAAUUCCCGGUGUAGCGGUGAAAUGCGCAGAUAUCGGGAAGAACACCCGUGGCGAAGGCGGCUCUCGUGGGACGGUACUGACGCUGAGACGCGAAAGCGUGGGGAGCGAACGAGGA
rnacentral:rRNA from 1 species